rnacentral:antisense_RNA from 1 species
UAGGACGUGCCCCCACUAAUCAGGUAGUCGGCCAUGGCCAACACAGUACACCUCCGCGUGUCUCCGAGGACCGCGCCGCAGAGACCUCUGCCGUUUGGGCCGCGCCAAUAUAAACCAGCCGAUUUCGUCACUGCGCCGCGCGCGACGCUGACGUCAGGGCGUAUUGCGCCCGGGCGGAACCGACCCGCCUCGCUGCGGCGGGGGCGGAGUUGGCGCUGAAGAAACAGCGCAUGCGUACAGCACAUGCUGGCCUUGUCACGGAGGAGCUGCGAUUUCACGUCCCACCCCACUCCCCGUAGGACCUCGGCCAGUUCAAUUAACAGGCAAGGCUUUACUUCUACUGUCCCGCCGGGCUCCUCCCCAAAAUAAAGAGACGUUGUUCACUAACA